ACUGCCUGAGGCUGUUGGAGCAGAGAGCUAUGAGAUAGAACACACAGGCAUAUAUUUUCUUUUAAUUUUUUAUGUACUUAUUUAUUUAUUUUGAGAUGGAGUCUCACUGUGUCACCAGGCUGGAGUGCAGUGGUGGGAUCUCAGCUCACUGCAACCUCCACCUCCCCGGUUCAAGCAAUUCUCCUGCCUCAGCCUCCCAAGUAAUUGGGACUACAGGAGCACGCCACCACGCCCAGCUAAUUUUUGUAUUUUUAGUAGAGACGGUGUUUUACCAUGUUGGCCAGGAUGGUCUCAAUCUCUUGACCUUGUGAUCUGCUCGCCUUGGCCUCCCAAAGUGCUGGGAUUACAGGCAUGAGCCACCACGCCCAGCCACACAGGCAUAUAUUUUAACUGUGCUGUCCAACUGGGUUUUAACAUGUAGAAUCUAUGGCAAGUUGCUUUUGCUCAGUAAGGGUGCUGUGACUCUUUUUGUCCUGGGAUUCAAGUGAUAAGCAGAUUUGAAGGUCAUAAGUGACAGCAGACAGGAUGGUCAUCUUAUUUCCUCUGCUUUCUCCCUGGAGAGGGGCCAGAGGACUCCAAAGAAAAGAGAGAUGGGAAUGGAAACAAACGAAUCCCAGCAGGGGAGCAGGGAGGAGAGACGAAACGGCAGCCGACUUGAGAGCUCAGCUGCCAGCCAAAAUCUGAUGCUCUGCAUUGCUCUGCAUAAAGGAGCCCAGGCUUCCCAAAUCCAGGCGCCCCAACAUGAUUGCAAAAGCCACACCCAUCAGCCCACAGAAAGCCAACACUGCUGCAGAACCAGUGAGACACCUUGGGAGGCUGCCCGAGUUUCUGGAGAUAUCUGUGUAAAAGCUGCUUUCCUCCCUGGUGGAUGCUUGAACCCCAGCAAGUGGUGGCGGACGGGACCCAGAGCUGCCAUACCAAGAUGGAAAAAAAAAUUUUUAAGGAAAAGUUAAUUUCAAGAAUUAUGUUCUCAGUUUUGUUGUAGGGCUAGUUGCCAAUUCCUUUUCCCACUGGCAGCAGGCAGGGCUGACUGAGCCAGCACACAGAGGCUUCUCAAUGAGCUUUGAUGUCAACAAAGGUAGGCAGGGCAGGCCCCGGUGGAAAAUUGUGAAGUCAGCAGAGUUAUCUCCGGCACUCCUCCCUUCCCCUUGCUUCCCCUUUCUCCGCCCAUUUCCCCCUCUCUCGGCUUCCAGCUUCUCAUUUCCCAGGGGACCCUGUAAUGGUCUGGUCCAGCAACAGAGAAGUAUGACAGGUAAUU
rnacentral:lncRNA from 1 species